rnacentral:rRNA from 1 species
AGAGUUUGAUCAUGGCUCAGAUUGAACGCUGGCGGCAUGCCUUACACAUGCAAGUCGAACGGCAGCAUGAUCUAGCUUGCUAGAUUGAUGGCGAGUGGCGAACGGGUGAGUAAUACAUCGGAACGUGCCCUGUAGUGGGGGAUAACUAGUCGAAAGAUUAGCUAAUACCGCAUACGACCUGAGGGUGAAAGUGGGGGACCGCAAGGCCUCAUGCUAUAGGAGCGGCCGAUGUCUGAUUAGCUAGUUGGUGAGGUAAAGGCUCACCAAGGCGACGAUCAGUAGCUGGUCUGAGAGGACGAUCAGCCACACUGGGACUGAGACACGGCCCAGACUCCUACGGGAGGCAGCAGUGGGGGAUUUUGGACAAUGGGGGCAACCCUGAUCCAGCAAUGCCGCGUGUGUGAAGAAGGCCUUCGGGUUGUAAAGCACUUUUGUCCGGAAAGAAAUCGCACUUACUAAUAUUAGGUGUGGAUGACGGUACCGGAAGAAUAAGGACCGGCUAACUACGUGCCAGCAGCCGCGGUAAUACGUAGGGUCCAAGCGUUAAUCGGAAUUACUGGGCGUAAAGCGUGCGCAGGCGGUUGUGCAAGACCGAUGUGAAAUCCCCGGGCUUAACCUGGGAAUUGCAUUGGUGACUGCACGGCUAGAGUGUGUCAGAGGGGGGUAGAAUUCCACGUGUAGCAGUGAAAUGCGUAGAGAUGUGGAGGAAUACCGAUGGCGAAGGCAGCCCCCUGGGAUAACACUGACGCUCAUGCACGAAAGCGUGGGGAGCAAACAGGAUUAGAUACCCCCGUAGUCC